rnacentral:ribozyme from 15 species
AACAUCCUGAAAGGGCACACAUAGAAAUACACAAAGCUUCAAUUGAAGAAAUGACAUCCUCCAGGAAGGAGAGUCCUGCCCUCAUCAGUCCCCGGUCUUAUUUCGUCUUUUGUUUUUUCUUCUUACUCUUCUUCUUCUUCUUCUUCUUAUUCUUCUUCCUUUUCUUCUUCUCCUUCUU